UACGAAGGGGGCAAGCGUUGUUCGGAAUCACUGGGCGUAAAGCGCACGUAGGCGGAUCUUUAAGUCAGGGGUGAAAUCCCGAGGCUCAACCUCGGAACUGCCUUUGAUACUGGGGAUCUCGAGUCCGGGAGAGGUGAGUGGAACUGCGAGUGUAGAGGUGAAAUUCGUAGAUAUUCGCAAGAACACCAGUGGCGAAGGCGGCUCACUGGCCCGGAACUGACGCUGAGGUGCGAAAGCGUGGGGAGCAAACAGG
rnacentral:rRNA from 1 species